rnacentral:rRNA from 1 species
UUUUGGUCGGGCUGGCCUAACACAUGCAAGUCGAGCGGAUGAAGGGAGCUUGCUCCUGGAUUCAGCGGCGGACGGGUGAGUAAUGCCUAGGAAUCUGCCUGGUAGUGGGGGAUAACGUCCGGAAACGGGCGCUAAUACCGCAUACGUCCUGAGGGAGAAAGUGGGGGAUCUUCGGACCUCACGCUAUCAGAUGAGCCUAGGUCGGAUUAGCUAGUUGGUGGGGUAAAGGCCUACCAAGGCGACGAUCCGUAACUGGUCUGAGAGGAUGAUCAGUCACACUGGAACUGAGACACGGUCCAGACUCCUACGGGAGGCAGCAGUGGGGAAUAUUGGACAAUGGGCGAAAGCCUGAUCCAGCCAUGCCGCGUGUGUGAAGAAGGUCUUCGGAUUGUAAAGCACUUUAAGUUGGGAGGAAGGGCAGUAAGUUAAUACCUUGCUGUUUUGACGUUACCAACAGAAUAAGCACCGGCUAACUUCGUGCCAGCAGCCGCGGUAAUACGAAGGGUGCAAGCGUUAAUCGGAAUUACUGGGCGUAAAGCGCGCGUAGGUGGUUCAGCAAGUUGGAUGUGAAAUCCCCGGGCUCAACCUGGGAACUGCAUCCAAAACUACUGAGCUAGAGUACGGUAGAGGGUGGUGGAAUUUCCUGUGUAGCGGUGAAAUGCGUAGAUAUAGGAAGGAACACCAGUGGCGAAGGCGACCACCUGGACUGAUACUGACACUGAGGUGCGAAAGCGUGGGGAGCAAACAGGAUUAGAUACCCUGGUAGUCCACGCCGUAAACGAUGUCGACUAGCCGUUGGGAUCCUUGAGAUCUUAGUGGCGCAGCUAACGCGAUAAGUCGACCGCCUGGGGGAGUACGGCCGCAAGGUUAAAACUCAAAUGAAUUGACGGGGGGCCCGCACAAGCGGUGGAGCAUGUGGUUUAAUUCGAAAGCAACGCGAAAGAACCCUUACCUGGCCCUUGACAUGCUGAGAACUUUCCAGAGAUGGGAUUGGGUGGCCUUCGGGAACUCAGACACAGGUGCUGCAAUGGGCUGUCGUCAGCUCGUGUCGUGAGAUGUUGGGUUAGUCCCGUAACGAAGCGCACCUU